rnacentral:rRNA from 1 species
AUUGAACGCUGGCGGCAGGCCUAACACAUGCAAGUCGAACGAGUGGCGGACGGGUGAGUAAUGUCUGGGAAUCUGCCCGAUAGCGGGGGAUAACUACUGGAAACGGUAGCUAAUACCGCAUACUAUCGGAUGUGCCCAUAUGGGAUUAGCUAGUAGGUGGGGUAACGGCUCACCUAGGCGACGAUCCCUAGCUGGUCUGAGAGGAUGACCAGCCACACUGGAACUGAGACACGGUCCAGACUCCUACGGGAGGCAGCAGUGGGGAAUAUUGCACAAUGGGCGCAAGCCUGAUGCAGCCAUGCCGCGUGUAUGAAGAAGGCCUUCGGGUUGUAAAGUUCUUUCGGUAGCGAGGCGUUAACUACAGAAGAAGCACCGGCUAACUCCGUGCCAGCAGCCGCGGUAAUUC